GAUUAACGUUAGCUACUGUCUCAUGCCAUCUCAGAAUUAUCCUAAUCUUCUUAGUUUAUUUCCUUACGUUUCUAAUCUGUAAAAGUGUAAAAAUAAUAACAUUUAAAUUCCUGAGUUGUCAUAGGUAUGCAUUCCUUACAUUUUGACCAAAUGAAUAUAUAUUAAAACAAGUAAGGAUGGUACUCAGUAGAACACUUAUCUUCAUACUGAUUGUUUGUAGUGCACAGCGUGGAUGACAACUGGACUGUAGUUCCUGAAAAUGUAUUUGUUUUCAAUCAAAUUAUUUUUUGUACUUAUAAAUGAUAAAUAUAUUAUAUCUCAAUAGUAAAUAAUUUUUUUUUGGUAAAAUACAAUAGUAAAUAAUUGACAGUAAUAGUAUAUUAUCUUUCAUUCAAUACGCACCCGUGAUAGUUUAUAUACAUCGAUCAAUGUUUAAUGAUACAGAUUUUUUCAUUUGUAGAAAUAUUUGUGAACUCCCGUUGCAAACCUCACAAUAAAAACAAAAUAAAGUAAGAAUAUAUUUUGUAAAAAUAAAAAUAGAAGAAAUUACAAUGAAGAUAAGAAAUAUUUUUGUUUUCGAGAAUAUGAAAAUAUAUCUUUUGAUAAAAUAUUAUUAUUUAUUAUAAAUACUUUUGGUUUUGUCAACUAUAAAUACUUAUUUAAUUUUUUUUAUUGUAAGAGGAUCUACAACUUUAACAAACGGGAGUUUAUUUAAUUGUAUACCUUUUGAAUGUUUGUUUCAGACAAACUCAACACCAUGUUUGUACGGCUUAAACUUUAAAGAAAUUAUUUACUUAUAAGUCAUCGCAACACGUUUCCAUCUCAUCUGAAUAAGAAAUAAAAUCAUCGUAUCCAACAUGCAAACCAGAUUAAAAAAAUAAGUUAGUUCUGAAAAUACAAUAUUUAAAAGAGAUAUGGAUGAAGAAGAGAAAAGGAAAUAACAAUGGAUUUACCUUUUAGGGAUCAGAUGAAGUGUUACUUUCGGAAAUCACCAUCUUCUUCAAUUCUUCUCUUUAACCGAGAGGAACCGACAGCUGAGAGAGUGAAAUGUUUUUAAUGAAACCUGAAAAAAAACACAUGUUUGUCUGUUCCUUUAAUGGGCUUUAGAUUAAAAAAAUCUCAAGGCCCAAACUAAAAACACAUCUUUAAUAUAUAACCACUGCAUUAUAUUUAUAAUAAUUAUUUGAACUGAAUUUAUCUAAUUUAUUAAUUUAUUUUAAAUAAAUAUUUAAUUGAAAUGAUCGAAUUUUAUUUAGUUAAUUAACUUAAAUAUCAUAAAAAUUAAGUGUAAAUAUAUUACUAACAUUAUAUUUAAAACACAAACAAGCCUAUUAACCGAAAACAAAAAUAACUAUAUUUGAAGAAAAUAUAAUUUUAUAAACUAACAUAACUUUUUUUUCAAUAUCGAAUAUUAUUAAACGAAAUUAAAAUUUCUAAGUUCCUUAACAAGAAAAAAAAGGAUCCAAAUCGCUGAAGGUACCAAAUGGAUGUACAAGAAAAUGAACACAAACCUUUGGAGUUUUUGUCUAUUGAAUCACCAAAUCGAAUGAGCUCAACAAGGUCUUUCUUUCAAUGCAUCCGACCAACUUCUAUUUCAUCGGAUCUAUUAUAUUAUUUAAGUCAUCGGAGGGACAUGCAAAACAAAUAAAAUAAGCUUUGUGUAAGAAUUGAUUUGAAUUCAACUCUCUACCGAGGAUGAAGAAAAUAGAGUAAAAGGUUUACCUUGGAGACGAGGUCGAUUCGUGGAAGACAAAACUCAUUGCUUGCUUCAAUCGCCUUUUGAGAGUUUGAUUUUUUUUUUGUAACCAGAAAGUUGUCUGAAAGUGGCAAAAAUAUCUGGAGUCUAUCGGGUAGAAGCUAGAAUUAGUGUGAGCUUGGGCCGAUUUUGAUGAAAUCCUUAUAUAAAAGAAUUUGCUUAAGAAAAAAAAAAUUACAGCCCAUCUUGAUAAUUUUAUAAGCUUAAUUAUAAUCAAGCCAUAUUCUGGCCCAUUUAAAAAAAAAUAACAAUCACAUAUCAAAUAAAAAGAAUUAAAUUAUAAUUAAUUCAACAUUUAUAAUGUACUAAUAAUAUAAACAUUCAAAGUUUUUUUUUUAAAAAAACUAUAACAUUUUUUUCAACUUUAUUGUAAUUAAUAGUUAAGAUAAAUAUAUGUUAUCCUAUAUCCUACAAAGGAAUAUUGAUCAAACUCUAUUCCCAAGUAAAACUUUACCACAAAUAAAUAUUAUAUGUGUACAAUAUAAUUUAUUCAUAAUUUAAAAUCUGAAAGGCAUAGAAAUCAUAAUUUACCUUGACUUUAAGUUAACAAAUAAAAAAUCAAUAGUAUUAUAGUAAUAGCAGAUUGAUAUAUUGUUAUUAUGUGAAAAAUUUAGACAACUUUCUCAAUUGUGUAGUUCGAAAUAACAUUAAACAUGUAGACAUUUAAUCUCUUAUAAGAUACAAGCAAAAUAUACAUAUUUGGAUAUGUUAAUAUAACUGAAACAAUCCUCGGGCCGAGGAUUCCUCGCACUUUCAUAAUAUAAAUGCUAUUUUUUGCUAUCUUAUUAUACCCUAUUUAAAGAAAAAAAUGAAAAAAAAAAUUCAAAAUGUUUUAUUUUACUUUAUUGGAAACAAUAAAUCUGAAUAGAAAUAGAACAAGAACCAAAAUACUCGAAACUAUAUCAGAUUCAUAUUAUAUCCAGAUCCAAACGUAAAACCAAACAAUUCAAACACUCUAACCAAACACAGCUUUAUACAUAAACAAAUGGUUCAUAUAUUUUAAACCACAAAACCCAAAACAACAACUAAAACUAAAAUUAAAAAUCGAUAUAAAUAAAUCAGAACUAUACUGAAAACCGAAUGUCUUGCCAAAACAUAUGAAUCAACAAACAUUCAUGUUAAUAAAAUUGCCAAAAAAAAAUAUUCCGCGCUUUCAAAGCGCGGGUCACUAUCUAGUCAAUACUAUUAAAACAGAAGACCUUUUUUUGAGGUGACCUCCUGUUUCAGCAGUAUUUACAAAAUCAUGCCACUGGCUUAAUUAAAACCAAUGUUUUUAUUUAAUUCUGUAUUUUUCAAAAUUCUUUUGAUUUAAAUAGCAACACCUAUAUUUAAUUAACAAUGCCUUCCUAUCGGGUUAUUUAAACAGCAACACCUACGUUUUACAAAACUUCAAUUGUUAUAAACAGCAACACUGAUUUUCAAUUCUUAUACAGUAUACGUACAUAACAUCUUUGUAUAUUGAUUCUGUUUUUCCAUCAACACCAAAGCUUGAACGUUUAUUGGAAUCUGCAAACUACCAAUAAAAACAAUACAUUCUGUUAAUACCAGUGUAUCUGUAUCGACCAUUCAUCACUUCCAAUCCAUGUUUUGGUUACAAAAGAUUGCACCAAAAAACAUACAUGUUGCAGUAUUCAAAAUCAUGAAAAUCUAACACUUUAUAGUAUUAUUCGUAAGCUUGCAUUUUUAUAUGUAUAGUAUGUGAUACAAACGAACCCAUAAACCCCAGAUCCUUUUCAGUAUUUUAAUUUAUUAAAAUAAAGCAAUAUCAUAAAUACCAAUCUUUUUUGGGUUUAAAAACCAUAAAUAGCUAUACCAUCAAAUAAAAAGCAAAAAUUUAAUCAAAUAAACUAUUUUUUCCGAAGUUGCUUAAAUAACAAUAACCAAUAUAUUAAAUCAUAAAUACCUGGUCGAGUUUUAUAUUUUCAUCUUUAAAAUAUCAAUAACAACCAAUCAAAACAAGAAGCCACAAAAUUUGGUAACUUAAAACUCUAUCAUGGAAUAAAAUUUUACAUAAUAAAUACACAUAAUUAAUAUCCUCACGGGAUUAACCACUGUGCAAUAUAUUCGACAAAAUUAUUGAAUUUUCAAAGUUUUUUUCAAAUCAAUAACCCAAAAUAUAAACCACUAAAUCAAAAGCUAAAAAUUUGGCAAAAAAAACUAGAUUUUCGGAAUACAUAACCAUAUCGAAUAAUCAUAAAUACCAAUCUUUUUCAAAUCAAUAACCAUAAGUAACUUUACCAUUAAAUAAAAAGCUUUCAUUUAAGCAAUUAACAAAAUUUUCGGAAGCUGCUUAAAUAUCAAUAACGAAUAUACAAAAUCAUAAAUAACUGGUCAAUCUUUAUAUUUUCAUAUCUUUAAAAUAUUAAUAACAACCAAUCAAAACAAGAAACUGCAGAUUUUGGUAAUUUUGAUCUAUAUUAUAAUAAACCAAAUAUCUAAUUUGUAUAACUUGAAUAAACUUGAUUCACAAAAUAUAUAUGAUUUGAAAAUAUAUUUAUAUAUAUAUAUGAUUUGAUUAAACUCACGGCAAAUAUUCUCUAACAACAUUGAAUUGGAAUAUCCUAAACCCAUGACCUUUUCUUUUGCUAUAUAUACAGCAUUUUAACCUCACGGCAAACACACAGAUUUCAAAACGUUUCACAAAAUCACACAUAAUGUCUUCUAAGAAAAAGAUGGUGUACCUUGAUGAGAGAUUAGGCCAUGGAAAACAAUUUGGUUGAUUGAAGCCAAAGUCAUACACACCUGAAAACCAUACAAUGUCGGGUUUGGUGAGACUUUAGAGAUCAUAUUUGCAGACAAAAAAGUAAAUGAAGCGACAUUUUGAAUUGAGUAGUAAUAUAUUACCUGAUUAACGUUAGCUACUGUCUCAUGCCAUCUCAGAAUUAUCCUAAUCUUCUUAGUUUAUUUCCUUACGUUUCUAAUCUGUAAAAGUGUAAAAAUAAUAACAUUUAAAUUCCUGAGUUGUCAUAGGUAUGCAUUCCUUACAUUUUGACCAAAUGAAUAUAUAUUAAAACAAGUAAGGAUGGUACUCAGUAGAACACUUAUCUUCAUACUGAUUGUUUGUAGUGCACAGCGUGGAUGACAACUGGACUGUAGUUCCUGAAAAUGUAUUUGUUUUCAAUCAAAUUAUUUUUUGUACUUAUAAAUGAUAAAUAUAUUAUAUCUCAAUAGUAAAUAAUUUUUUUUUGGUAAAAUACAAUAGUAAAUAAUUGACAGUAAUAGUAUAUUAUCUUUCAUUCAAUACGCA
rnacentral:lncRNA from 1 species